GACGAACGCUGGCGGCGUGCCUAAUACAUGCAAGUCGAGCGGAAGUUGGAGAGCUUGCUCUUCAACUUUAGCGGCGGACGGGUGAGUAACACGUGGGCAACCUGCCCUGCAGAUCGGGAUAACUCCGGGAAACCGGUGCUAAUACCGAAUAGUUUUCGCCACCUCCUGGUGGCGUACGGAAAGACGGUUUCGGCUGUCACUGCAGGAUGGGCCCGCAGCGCAUUAGCUAGUUGGUGGGGUAACGGCCCACCAAGGCGACGAUGCGUAGCCGACCUGGGAGGGUGAUCGGCCACACUGGGACUGAGACACGGCCCAGACUCCUACGGGAGGCAGCAGUAGGGAAUCUUCCGCAAUGGACGAAAGUCUGACGGAGCAACGCCGCGUGAGUGACGAAGGUUUUCGGAUCGUAAAACUCUGUUGUGAGGGAAGAACAAGUACCACUUAACUACUGGUACCUUGACGGUACCUCACCAGAAAGCCACGGCUAACUACGUGCCAGCCGCCGCGGUAAUAC
rnacentral:rRNA from 1 species